GGCGAAAUUGUAACACAGGAAACCCAUACUAGAGAAACACAGUAGCCCCAAAGAGAAAGUGCGUGAUUAGAAGAAAGAACUAGAGAGUGACGGAGAUAGUGACGGCGUUUUGGGGAUAGGGGACGACUUUACCAAUGGAGGGAAAGGUUCGUCAAUAGCAUUUCACUGCAAAUGGGGUCUUGUUCUAAUGGGAAAAACUAUGUAUGCUUUGCACUUUUGAGGCUAUGGAUGGGAUGGAUGUCAAAACGUUUUUAUACAACCAAAUACACAUGUGUAUGUAUAAAAUUGACUCGCAAUGACUCACUUGUGCCGUUUAUUACUCGGCCGAGUUUGAAGCCAUUCGGCAGGGAUUUCACAGGGUUACCGAGUUUUUUCUCCCCAACUACACAGCCGUUAGGUUGAUCGAUUCACUUGUUUAGGCCAAGUAAAAAUAAAAACAUGUUAAUCGUCCUGAUAACAUCAAAAUAGGGAGCAUGUGGUCCUUUAUAUUUAUUUUUUCUCACUGGUUUAUUAAAGAUUUGUACGAUUCAUAAAGGAAAUUCCCACGAUGUUGCGAACGAUAAAAAAAAAAGUAAGAAAAGCCUUGAAAACGAAACGUCUGCCUUUAUUUUAGUGCCCAGGCACCGCAGCGCACGAAAUUUGAACUUCUGAGGAAUAAACAAUAAAAUUAAAAUAAAAAAUCAGCAGAAAUAACUAAAUAAAAAAAAAAUUAUUGCUUCGGGCGGGGACGAAAAAAAAGUCUUUUUUUACUUUGCCUUAUGAGUCUGUUGCAACAAAAUCAGUUACUGUUAGUACUCGAAUAAGCGCCAACUAUUUAUAAGGACAACUAUGAAUAAGUGCCCACUCUGAAUAAGCUCCCCGCCUAAACGUGCAAGAAGUAAAAAUUCUCCAAAAACCAGAGCAAAACUAGUCGCCCUUACAGCUGUUCUGGGCUAGCGUGACGCGUGACGAUAUUUUGUGAUUCUUGUACUUUUUAUCAGGAUAUGGACCGGACUUUGUAGUGGGACAUGAACAAAUGAAUCAACACGCCCGGGGAUCCAGCGUACUUUGCGGGCGCUCCCUAAGGUCACUUAGCAUGAUAAAUAAGAGCCUAUUCGAGCAAUUACAGUUCACCCACAAAUCCCCAAAGAUCAUUAAAGCGCAUAGCAUGUCUUCCUUAUAAUUAAAUAAAACCAGACAUUCUGAACCGAAAUUUUCAUUUUAUUAACAGAAAUUAAAUAAAAAAAAAAACACGAGUAAUUAAAGUCCCAAGCAAGACGGGUUUAGUUGAGCACGUACCUAGAAGACAAAUCAACACAACAUUCGUGAGCGUGAGGACGUAUUUCGGGAGGUUUUACUGGGAAGGGGGGUAGAAGUACUAUGUUGGGGUGAGACAAGGGAUUCGGGCAGCGAACGCAGCA